rnacentral:rRNA from 1 species
AUUGAACGCUGGCGGAAUGCUUUACACAUGCAAGUCGAACGGUAGAGGGGGCAACCCCUCGAGAGUGGCGAACGGGUGAGUAAUAUAUCGGAACGUGCCCAGUCGUGGGGGAUAACGUAGCGAAAGUUACGCUAAUACCGCAUACGAUCUACGGAUGAAAGCGGGGGAUCGCAAGACCUCGCGCGAUUGGAGCGGCAGAUAUCAGAUUAGGUAGUUGGUGGGGUAAAGGCUCACCAAGCCAACGAUCUGUAGCUGGUCUGAGAGGACGACCAGCCACACUGGAACUGAGACACGGUCCAGACUCCUACGGGAGGCAGCAGUGGGGAAUUUUGGACAAUGGACGCAAGUCUGAUCCAGCCAUUCCGCGUGCAGGAUGAAGGCCCUCGGGUUGUAAACUGCUUUUGUACGGAACGAAAAGGUUUCCAUUAAUACUGGGAGCUCAUGACGGUACCGUAAGAAUAAGCACCGGCUAACUACGUGCCAGCAGCCGCAGUAA